UACUGCCAGACUUGGAACCGGGAGAGGUAAGAGGUACUACAGGGGUAGGAGUGAAAUCUUCGUAAUCCCUGUGGGACCACCUGUGGCGAAGGCGUCUUACCAGAACGGGUUCGACGGUGAGGGACGAAAGCUGGGGGCACGAACCGGAUUAGAUACCCGGGUAGUCCCAGCCGUAAACGAUGCUCGCUAGGUGUCAGGCAUGGCGCGACCGUGUCUGGUGCCGCAGGGAAGCCGUGAAGCGAGCCACCUGGGAAGUACGGCCGCAAGGCUGAAACUUAAAGGAAUUGGCGGGGGAGCACAACAACGGGUGGAAGCCUGCGGUUUAAUUGGACUCAACGCCGGACAACUCACCGGGGGCGACAGCAAUAUGUAGGCCAAGCUGAAGACUUUGCCUGAAUCGCUGAGGAGUGGUGCAUGG
rnacentral:rRNA from 1 species